GAUGAACGCUGGCGGCGUGCUUAACACAUGCCAGUCGAACGGAAAGGCCGAAGCUUGCUUCGGUACUCGAGUGGCGAACGGGUGAGUAACACGUGGGUGAUCUGCCCUGUACUUCGGGAUAGGCUUGGGAAACUGGGUCUAAUACCGGAUAUGACGAUCUCUUGGAUGGGGUUGUGGAAAGCUUUUGCGGUAUGGGAUGAGCUCGCGGCCUAUCAGCUUGUUGGUGGGGUAAUGGCCUACCAAGGCGUCGACGGGUAGCCGGCCUGAGAGGGUGUACGGCCACAUUGGGACUGAGAUACGGCCCAGACUCCUACGGGAGGCAGCAGUGGGGAAUAUUGCACAAUGGGCGCAAGCCUGAUGCAGCGACGCCGCGUGGGGGAUGACGGCCUUCGGGUUGUAAACUCCUUUCGCAAUCGACGAAGCCUUUUGGUGACGGUAGGUUGAGAAGAAGCACCGGCUAACUACGUG
rnacentral:rRNA from 1 species